rnacentral:rRNA from 1 species
AGCGAACGCUGGCGGCAGGCUUAACACAUGCAAGUCGAGCGGGCACCUUCGGGUGUCAGCGGCAGACGGGUGAGUAACACGUGGGAACGUACCCUUUGGUUCGGAACAACUCUGGGAAACUGGAGCUAAUACCGGAUACGCCCUUAUGGGGAAAGGUUUACCGCCGAAGGAUCGGCCCGCGUCUGAUUAGCUAGUUGGUGAGGUAACGGCCCACCAAGGCGACGAUCAGUAGCUGGUCUGAGAGGAUGAUCAGCCACACUGGGACUGAGACACGGCCCAGACUCCUACGGGAGGCAGCAGUGGGGAAUAUUGGACAAUGGGCGCAAGCCUGAUCCAGCCAUGCCGCGUGAGUGAUGAAGGCCUUAGGGUUGUAAAGCUCUUUUGUCCGGGACGAUAAUGACGGUACCGGAAGAAUAAGCCCCGGCUAACUUCGUGCCAGCCGCCGCAGU